rnacentral:rRNA from 1 species
GAUGAACGCUAGCGGCAGGCUUAACACAUGCAAGUCGAGGGGCAGCAUGAGACGGAGAUUCGUCGAAGUCUUGAUGGCGACCGGCGCAAGGGUGCGUAACGCGUGAGCAACUUGCCCGUUUCAGGGGGAUAACCGGUGGAAACGCCGACUAAUACCCCAUGGUAUGUUUUUAAGGCAUCUUUUAAACAUUAAAGAAUUUCGGAAACGGAUAGGCUCGCGUGACAUUAGCUAGAUGGCGGGGUAACGGCCCACCAUGGCGACGAUGUCUAGGGGUUCUGAGAGGAAGGUCCCCCACACUGGAACUGAGACACGGUCCAGACUCCUACGGGAGGCAGCAGUGAGGAAUAUUGGGUCAAUGGUCGAGAGACUGAACCAGCCAUGCCGCGUGAAGGUGACGGCCCUAUGGGUCUUAAACUUCUUUUGCGAGGGAGCAAUAAGGCGCACGUGUGCGUCGAUGAGAGUACCUCGCGAAUAAGCAUCGGCUAACUCCGUGCCAGCAG